GAUAAAUUUUUUAUAUUUUUUAUAAUUUAUUAUAAAUUUAUUUUACAUGUAAAUUUUAGUAUUAAAUUUUAAUUAUUUUAAUAAUAAUUAAUUUAAAUAUACAGUAAUUAAAAUUAAAAAUUUAAGAAAUUAAGAUUUAGUAAUAUUUAAAUUAAUAACUAAUUUUGUGCCAGCAGUUGCGGUUAAACAAAAGUUAAAUUAAAUUAUUUCAGUAUCUAAUAAAUAAUAAAUUAUUAAAUUAAAUAUUAAAUUAUUAAGUGAAAUUUUAAUUUAGUUAAAAAUUAUAUAAAAUAUAUGAUUUAAUAAAUUUUAAUUUAAACUAGGAUUAGAUACCCUAUUAUUAAAAAUUUAAUUUAAAAUACUAAAAUAGUAAAUAAAAUAUUAUUGAAACUUAAAUAAUAUGGCGGUAUUUUAGUUCAUUUAGAGGAACCUGUCUAAUAAUUGAUAAUCCACGAGUAAAUUUACUUAAUUUAUAAUUUUGUAUAUCAUUGUUAAAAAAAUAUUUUUAAAUAAAAAUAAUAUUUUAAAAUUUAAAAUAAAAUUUAAUUCAGAUCAAGAUGCAGAUUAUAAUUAAGUUAAAGAUGGGUUACAAUAAAUUUAUUUAAGCGAAAAGAAUUUUGAAAAAUUUAAUUGAAGAUGGAUUUAAAUGUAAUUUUAAUUAAUUUAUUAAAAUGAUUAAAAAUUGGAAUAUGUACAUAUUGCCCGUCACUUUCAUUUAAAAAUUGAAAUAAGUCGUAACAAAGUAGAGGUACUGGAAAGUGUUUCUAGAAUGAA
rnacentral:ncRNA from 1 species